rnacentral:rRNA from 1 species
UACGUAGGCAGCAAGCGUUGUUCGGAAUUACUGGGCGUAAAGGGUGUGUAGGCGGUGUUCUAAGUCUGUUGUGAAAUCUCCCGGCUUAACUGGGAGGGUGCGGCGGAAACUGGAAUGCUAGAGGAUGGGAGAGGUAAGCGGAAUUCCUGGUGUAGCGGUGAAAUGCGUAGAUAUCAGGAGGAACACCUGUGGUGUAGACAGCUUACUGGACCAUUUCUGACGCUGAGACACGAAAGCGUGGGUAGCAAACAGG